ACGGAAGGCAGCAGUGGGGAAUAUUGCACAGUGAGCGCAAGCCUGAUGCAGCGAUGCCGCGUGAGGGAAGAAGGUUUUCGGAUUGUAAACCUCUGUCAACAGGGACGAAAAUGACGGUACCUGUGAAGGAAGCUCCGGCUAACUACGUGCCAGCAGCCGCGGUAAUACGUAGGGAGCAAGCGUUAUCCGGAAUUACUGGGUGUAAAGGGAGUGUAGGCGGGACUGUAAGUCAGAUGUGAAAUAUACCGGCUCAACUGGUAGACUGCAUUUGAAACUGCGGUUCUUGAGUGAAGUAGAGGUAAGCGGAAUUCCUAGUGUAGCGGUGAAAUACGUAGAUAUUAGGAGGAACAUCAGUGGCGAAGGCGGCUUACUGGGCUUUAACUGACGCUGAGGCUCGAAAGCGUGGGGAGCAAACAGGAUUAGAUACCCUGGUA
rnacentral:rRNA from 1 species